AUUGAACGCUGGCGGCAGGCCUAACACAUGCAAGUCGAACGAGUGGCGGACGGGUGAGUAAUGUCUGGGAAACUGCCUGAUGGAGGGGGAUAACUACUGGAAACGGUAGCUAAUACCGCAUACCAUCAGAUGUGCCCAGAUGGGAUUAGCUGGUAGGUGGGGUAACGGCUCACCUAGGCGACGAUCCCUAGCUGGUCUGAGAGGAUGACCAUCCACACGGGAACUGAGACACGGUCCAGACGCCUACGGGGUGCAGCAUUGGGGAAUAGUGCAAAAUGGGCGCAAGCCUGAUGCAGCCAUGACGCGUGUGUGAAGAAGGCCUUCGGGUUGUAAAGCACUUUCAGCGGGGAGGCGUUACCCGCAGAAGAAGCACCGGCUAACUCCGUGCCAGCAGCCGCGGUAAUUC
rnacentral:rRNA from 1 species